UUGAGUACGCACAAAGUGGGCGGAAUUCGUGGUGUAGCGGUGAAAUGCUUAGAUAUCACGAAGAACUCCGAUUGCGAAGGCAGCUCACUGGAGCGCAACUGACGCUGAAGCUCGAAAGUGCGGGUAUCGAACAGGAUUAGAUACCCUGGUAGUCCGCACGGUAAACGAUGGAUGCCCGCUGUUGGUCUGAACAGGUCAGCGGCCAAGCGAAAGCAUUAAGCAUCCCACCUGGGGAGUACGCCGGCAACGGUGAAACUCAAAGGAAUUGACGGGGGCCCGCACAAGCGGAGGAACAUGUGGUUUAAUUCGAUGAUACGCGAGGAACCUUACCCGGGCUUGAAUUGCAGAGGAAGGAUUUGGAGACAAUGACGCCCUUCGGGGCCUCUGUGAAGGUGCUGCAUGGUUGUCGUCAGCUCGUGCCGUGAGGUGUCGGCUUAAGUGCCAUAACGAGCGCAACCCCUCUCCUUAGUUGCCAUCAGGUUAAGCUGGGCACUCUGGGGACACUGCCACCGUAAGGUGUGAGGAAGGUGGGGAUGACGUCAAAUCAGCACGGCCCUUACGUCCGGGGCUACACACGUGUUACAAUGGCAGGUACAGAGAGACGGUUGUACGUAAGUACGAUCAAAUCCUUAAAGCCUGUCUCAGUUCGGACUGGGGUCUGCAACCCGACCCCACGAAGCUGGAUUCGCUAUGU
rnacentral:rRNA from 1 species